AGCUUCGGCUCCCUAGUUAGUGGCGAACGGGUGAGUAACGCGUGAGCAACCUGCCUUUCAGAGGGGGACAACAGCUGGAAACGGCUGCUAAUACCGCAUAACAUGAUUUAGCCGCAUGACUGGAUCAUCAAAGAUUUAUCGCUGAAAGAUGGGCUCGCGUCUGAUUAGCUAGUUGGUGGGGUAAAGGCCCACCAAGGCGACGAUCAGUAGCCGGACUGAGAGGUUGAACGGCCACAUUGGGACUGAGAUACGGCCCAGACUCC
rnacentral:rRNA from 1 species